GAAAGCUCGAGGGCAGCUUACGCUCCAGUGGAGUGAGGAAAGUCUCCCCUCCUGGGUGGGUAUCAGCCUGCAAUGCAGGUAUUCCGAGAGGAAUGGCAACGACAAAAGAAAGAAACAUUUCCAGGUAAAGAAUGAUUCCCUGAGGAUGACAUUUCCUGGAUCGAUGAUGGAACAGUCGACCUGAUUGGAGAAAGUCCAAAGAGACCCCGUGAGACCACUCUGAGGGUCGGGUAGGACGCAGCGUGCCUUAUGGCCAUAGUCGAAUGCUGCCAGCCUGAUUUACAGGGGAACAGAAGGGAGCUUACUCCGGGCAUUC
rnacentral:RNase_P_RNA from 15 species